rnacentral:lncRNA from 1 species
AUUCUGCCCCGAUCCGCUCCGAAUGGGGCCAUAAGUGAGAACAAAAAAUAUAGAAAAAUAUAAUCCGUCCUCAUCGAUUAUUUUUUUUUUUUUCUUUCAAUCCGUUUCGAUCCGUCAAAAAUUCGCUCCCGCCAUGAUCUGCCCCGAAUGAGGCAGUAAGUGAGAGCCAAAAAUAAAAUAAAAAAUAUUCCACUUCGAAUCCGUCCCUUCCCGACAAGAAAUGGAGCAGGAGGUGGGAGAACCCUCUCGCCCACAGAUCCGCUCCGUUUGCAUCCCUAUUCCUACCUAUUCAUUUUUUACUAUAU